AAAUGCGAUAAGUAAUGUGCAUUGCAGAAUUCCGUGAAUCAUCGAAUCUUUGAACGCACAUUGCGCCCUCUGGUAUUCCGGGGGCAUGCCUGUCCGAGCGUCAUUGCGAACCCCUCAAGCACGGCUUGUGUGAUGGGCCCUCCCGCGUCUUGGUCGUCAAGACGGGCCCGAAAUGCAGUGGCGGCUUCGCGGUUAUCCGAUCAGCCAGAGCGUAUGGGGACUUUCUCUCUGUCACACGCCCGCGGCGCGGACCGACGCCUGUCGACCUUUAUUCAUCUUUUUCUCGGUUGACCUCGGAUCAGGUAGGGAUACCCGCUGAACUUAAGC
rnacentral:misc_RNA from 1 species